UAAUGCCUUGCUUCCUUGCCUAAUGUCUCAGCCCAUCAUAGGGUUGCCACCAUGCUAAGACAAAGGGCUGUCCUGCUCUGGGAAGGAGACCCUGCCAGGCAGUGUUAAAUGUAUGCCCUUACAUUCGCCAACAUGGGAAACGAGGAUAGUGACACUUCAACUGAUUUCCCAAGUUUGCGGGAGAAUGGAGAGGUCAGCCGUGCCACACGGGGUGGUCCAAAGGCACAAACUUUGGACCCAGACAAACGUUCCUCGUCUGAAAAGGGGAUUGCCAAGUCUAGCUCACGGGGCUGCUAGAAGCGUUAAAUGAGAUACUACUGAUACUUCUAAUGCUGGGUCAGCAAGAUACUGCUUGGAAUAAAAGUGCAGAUUUCCAGCAAUGAAGCCAACUCAUCCAGUGAUAUAAAAUCCAUUUACGACAAACAUAAACCAUGUUUUCAGCAAUAAUUUACAUAUCUGAAAUGAGAGAAACUGGAAACUGAUCAGCAUAGCCUAAAUAAAUGGUCCUCUUCAUUGUAACUCUUUUAUAGCCAAAGUGACCUUUCUUACUUAGUGCCAAGGCAGCAUAUUUAUAGGAUGCUAUUUUCUCAUGUAAUUCACUGUCACAUUAUAUUUUCAUAAAUAUUCCUGAAAUGUAAAACAGCUGCAUAUUAU